AUUAUGUUUAAGAUCUGUUAGUGCAUAUUGUGUGUCUCUUCAGAUAAGACUGCAAGCUUCUCUGCCAGACUCCUGCCUGAUAAUUGUUACAUUGCAUCUUUUCUCUGCCUCAGUCUGAUUAUGUGAUGUGUGUGUGAGACAGUGAGACUGUAAUAGAAAAAGCCUCAGUUUGGAGGAGAGGCUAAAUAUGCUUGAGAGAGAGAGACUGAUUGUGAGAGGGCUUGUGUGUGCAUUACAGUUCAAUGGGGGUGGGUAUGGCUCCUGCAGCUGCUGCACCAUGGAGACCCACCAAAUCCCAGUUUGACUCCUCGUUAUUCCAUUGAAGGGUUCCAGCAUACCUUUUGCUUCCCAGAUUCCUCCAAUGUCUACUGAAGAAGUGCCCAGAGUUACUUGUAAGAGUUAUAAAAAUCAAACAUUAAAAUCAUAUCAUAUUGUGAAGCUGCACUGAGUGAUAAAGCACCAACAUGGCAGUUGGAAUUGAAGAUGUCCGGCCGAGUAACAUUUUUUUACUAAAGUGGCAGCAGCUUUCUUCAUAAAAGAGCAUUGUGUUAGAGGAUUCAGAGCCCUUAGAAAGGAGAGAUUUGCCUCUCUAUUAACCGUUGGUAUAUUACAGACACAGCUAUUCUAAACAACUUUCCAAGCUGUCUUCAUCUUUUAUUUUUAUGUUUUUCUGAAUUAUGAGCCUUUCCAUUCUGCCUCUUUUUAACUACCAAUGGAAAUGUUACCUGAUUGUCUGGGUCACUGACCCUGGAGACAAAUAAAUGUGAUGGUGACAGGC